GUCACUUGGAAAUCUUGUUAAAAUGCAGAUUUGGAUUCAGAAGGUCUGAGUGGAACCUGAGAUUCUGCAUUUCUAACAAGCCCCCAGGUGACAAUGA
rnacentral:pre_miRNA from 1 species